UACGUAGGGUGCGAGCGUUUAAUCGGAAUUACUGGGCGUAAAGCGUGCGCAGGCGGUUUUGUAAGCCAGAUGUGAAAGCCCCGGGCUCAACCUGGGAACUGCAUUGGAAACUAACGGGCUCGAGUGUGGCAGAGGGGGGUGGAAUUCCACGUGUAGCAGUGAAAUGCGUAGAGAUGUGGAGGAACACCGAUGGCGAAGGCAGCCCCCCUGGGCUAACACUGACGCUCAGGCACGAAAGCGUGGGGAGCAAACAGG
rnacentral:rRNA from 1 species